rnacentral:rRNA from 1 species
UACGUAGGAGACAAGCGUUAUCCGGAGUUACUGGGCGUAAAGGGCGUGUAGGUGGUUGCGUAAGUCUGGCGUGAAAUUUUUCGGCUUAACCGGGAAAGGUCGUCGGAUACUGCGUAACUAGAGGACGGUAGAGGCGUGUGGAAUUCCGGGUGUAGUGGUGAAAUGCGUAGAGAUCCGGAGGAACACCAGUGGCGAAGGCGACACGCUGGGCCGUACCUGACACUGAGCCGCGACAGCAUGGGGAGCAAACAGG